ACGAACGCUGGCGGCGUGCUUAACACAUGCAAGUCGAACGGAAAGGCCCUGCUUGCAGGGUACUCGAGUGGCGAACGGGUGAGUAACACGUGGGUGAUCUGCCCUGCACUUCGGGAUAAGCCUGGGAAACUGGGUCUAAUACCGGAUAGGAGCCAUUUUUAGUGUGAUGGUUGGAAAGUUUUUUCGGUGUAGGAUGAGCUCGCGGCCUAUCAGCUUGUUGGUGGGGUAAUGGCCUACCAAGGCGGCGACGGGUAGCCGGCCUGAGAGGGUGGACGGCCACAUUGGGACUGAGAUACGGCCCAGACUCCUACGGGAGGCAGCGGUGGGAAUAUUGCACAAUGGGCGCAAGCCUGAUGCAGCGACGCCGCGUGGGGGAUGACGGCCUUCGGGUUGUAAACUCCUUUCGCUAGGGACGAAGCUUUUUGUGACGGUACCUAGAUAAGAAGCACCGGCUAACUACGUG
rnacentral:rRNA from 1 species